CCUUGAAUACUCAACAUAACCCAAAAGGAAAUCAGCAGUUCAGCUCGCAGGUCAGCAACAGCAGCCCGAUCCAGUCACCAACACUUCACGGAUACACCAGCAGUUCACCAACACUUCAUGGAUACCCGAGCAGGUCAGUUCAAUAGUGCCUGGAUAGGGGCAGCAGUGGCACGACCUAGCAGGAACAGUCAAUCAGGCCUUGGCCCAAACAGCACGAGUCAACAGGGAGGAUUUGGAUCACCAGGAACUCCAGGAAAAGUUCUCAGCUGUGCCUCUCUCAGCGAAGAUGCAAGACCAACAAGCAUUGCACAGCUUGCUCUAUAAGCAAGCCUAGCCUGAUCUCUGUCACCAUCCGUGGAGUCCUUUUUACACUCCCUCCAAACAUAAAGUGUCCUCCUCGGGUCUUGCCUCAGCAUGUGAGUCUGUCUUGGCUGACAUCCCUCUGCCAAUCGGCCCAAAUCUGCAGAAGCAGCAAGAAGCCACAGCACACCACCAGAAGUGUUUUGGUGCGUUUCUCCCUAUGGAGUCCUGACAAAUGCAGCUCAACUACGC
rnacentral:lncRNA from 1 species